rnacentral:misc_RNA from 1 species
UCCGAGUUGACCCCGGCAGUCUCCCAUGAGUCCCCGCCAUUACGCGCUGGCAACAUGGAACGAGGGUUGCGCUCGUUGCGGGACUUAACCCAACAUCUCACGACACGAGCUGACGACAACCAUGCACCACCUGUGAACCGGCCCCGAAGGACCCCACAUCUCUGUGGGAUUACCGGCAAUGUCAAACCCAGGUAAGGUUCUUCGCGUCGCAUCGAAUUA